rnacentral:rRNA from 1 species
CAACAGGGAUUGCCUCAGUAACGGCGAGUGAAGCGGCAACAGCUCAAAUUUUAAAGCUGGCGUCUUCGACGUCCGCAUUGUAAUUUGGAGAGGCAUCUUCGGAUUGGGCGCCAGCCUAUGUUCCUUGGAACAGGACGUCACAGAGGGUGAGAAUCCCGUGCUUGGCUGGCUGUCCCAUUUCAUGUGAAGUGUCUUCGACGAGUCGAGUUGUUUGGGAAUGCAGCUCAAAAUGGGUGGUAAAUUUCAUCUAAAGCUAAAUAUUGGUGGGAGACCGAUAGCGCACAAGUAGAGUGAUCGAAAGAUGAAAAGCACUUUGAAAAUAGAGUUAAAAAGUACGUGAAAUUGUUGAAAGGGAAGCGCUUGAGACCAGACUCGGUUGGUGAUGAUCAGCUGUCCUUUUGGGCAGUGCACUUGUCGCCGGUUGGGCCAGCAUCGGUUGAGACGGCGGGAUAAAGGUUUUGGGAAUGUGGCUCCUCUCGGGGAGUGUUAUAGCCCAGAAUGCAAUGCCGCCAGCCUCGACCGAGGACCGCGCUUCGGCUAGGAUGCUGGCAUAAU